AUAUUUUGAUUAAAAUAAGAUAAAAAUAAUAAUAAAAAAAAAACAACAAUAGUUGGAAAAUAUAAGUUUCUAUAAACUACUAGAAGCUUUAUAAUAUCUACAAUAGGUUUAAUACUUGUAGGACCUUCAGAAAGUUUUUCAAUUGGCAUAACAUGAUUCAAAUAAUUUACUUGAAUUGUGCAGAAUGGACAUUUUGAAAUAUUACAUAUUCUUGUUUUUCCUAUUGUGAUUAUACAGAAAAGAUUAUUUCUAAAACAUGCUUUUUCAUUUAUUUUAUAUGCAUUAAAUUAUAUGUACCAAUUUAUAUGGUUACCAUGAUUCUUAUUUAAUAUAAAUCUUAUCUUGACUUAAUUGAUAAGAAACUCAAAUAAAAAUAGGAUAAUUAAAUUUU
rnacentral:lncRNA from 1 species